CCGCAUAAGUUGCGACCUACUGUAAAUAUGGGCAAACAUUGAAAUUGAAGAGAUUUAGGUGAGCGCUAUGUGAGUCAUAGGUGCUCAUAAAGGACCAUCACGCAUUU
rfam:Zea mays cultivar B73 chromosome 9, whole genome shotgun sequence.